rnacentral:lncRNA from 1 species
AAGUUUCUUCAGCAGAUCCGUCAGUUACGCUCAGGGAGGCGAUCCUAAGAGAUGUCAGGCAACUCUGGGCUUAGAUGUUGAGGCUGCUGGUUUGCAAAUGCUCUAUCCAUGUGCUGGACUGAACAGCGGGCACAGAGCAAGAACUGCCCUGUCUCUUUCAACCAAGUCUGCCAGUUUAUCCAAAAGUUGGCCUCUUUCCGAUGCAUCCAUUCUCCUCCAAACUGAACCCAGAGAAAAAGCAAGGCGAGCUGCUCUCACUGCCUUGUCCGUGUCAACCUUGUCUGCUUCCUGGAUCUCACAGAUCUGCUCUCCUGUUGCUGGAUUGUAUACUGGGAAUACUCUCCCGCUUUCAG